rnacentral:rRNA from 1 species
ACAUGCUUACAAAAUAGCUUUAAUGCAUCAUAUUCCAUAAGAACUCCAUAGUUAAGCAUGGUUAGGCUAGAUUAAUAUUGAGAUGGGUGAUCGCCCGAGAAUUCCUAGUGUUUUACAUGCC